rnacentral:rRNA from 1 species
ACUCGCCUGCAUGAAGUCGGAAUCGCUAGUAAUCGGAGAUCAGCUACGCUCCGGUGAAUGUGUUCCUGAGCCUUGUACACACCGCCCGUCACGUCAUGGAAGCCGAGAGCGCCCGAAGUCGUCACAUUUCAGUGAUGCCCACGGCGAGAUCGGUGACUGGGACGAAGUCGUAACAAGGUAGCCGUAGGAGAACCUGCGGCUGGAUCACCUCCUUUCUAAGG